AAAAAAAUAGGGCUGGUUAAUAUUUGCCGAAUAGCUUUUUAUUAUUUUUUUUAGCUAAAUUACAUAAAACCCUAUGUUAAAACUCGUUUUUUCAUUUUUCCCUCCUGUCAUUUAAAACCUACACACUUUGCUCCCUUGUAAAAUAAAAAAUAUUUACAGGAGGGGUACGGUGUGUCCUGUGAUGAUAAAAUGAUCAUUUUGUCCCUUACUAUUUUCGUCUUUUCCCUCAUCUUUCUCAACAGCAGUCUCGAUCGGCCGCGGUUCACGCCUCGAUCGGCCGCGGUUUCUCCGCGAUUCACGCCUCAUCUUCCUCCUGCACCCUCGCCGCCCCUCGAUUUCGGCGACAGUAGGGUGGAAAUCGAGGUAGGGGUAAUGGAGAGGUGGAAAACGACAACGAGAGCAAAGACGAGGUGACGGAGGAGGGCGAAUGGGUGUUUGUAGGCGCAAAUAGGGAUGUGGGCGAGGGUGAGGCAGUGGAGGAUAUGGCGAGGCGGCGAGGCGGAGGAAAGCGGAGAAAAGCCAAUCAAAGGGGAAAAAGGGCGGAGGGGUAUUUUGGGCAUAAAAAAUAUUUUAUAAUGGAACCCUAACGGAUCACUAACGGUAGGAGGCGAAGUGCAUAUUUUUUAUUUUAUAAGGGGGUAAAGUGUAGGUUUUUAAAUGACAAGAGAGGAAAGUGAAAAAUCGCGUUUUGACAGAAAGCUUUUCUGUAAUUUAGCCUUUUUUUUUAGCGGUCGUUUUCAUUUCUGUCUUUUCUUCAUUGCAGAUAAUAGAUAAAUCAGU
rnacentral:lncRNA from 1 species